AAGACUAUAGACCUGCGGAGUACCUGCGGAAGGAUCAUUACCGAGUUUACAACUCCCAAACCCCCUGUGAACUUAUACCAUUACUGUUGCUUCGGCGGGUUAUUGCCCCGGGGAAGGACAGGCUGCCGCAAGGUGCCCUGCCGCCCCCCCGGAAACAGGCGCCCGCCGGGGGACUUAAACUCUAUAUUUUUUUCUUGUUUUAGUGUAUACUGUCUGAGUAAAAAAACAUAAUGAAUCAAA
rnacentral:misc_RNA from 1 species